rnacentral:lncRNA from 1 species
UGCUUGGUUCUCUCAUGGAACACCGAGUUGGAGGCAAUGUGGAUGGCAGCUUGGUUAUCACAAUGCAUAGUCAUUGGCGUGGCUUGAUCAAUCUCUAAAUGCUUCAAUAUACACUUUUGUGUAUUAGAGCAUGAUUCAAAUAAUCAGAGAUAAUCAGAUGAAAAGAUUAAAGAGAUUAAGAGAUUUUAGUGAGAGAAUAAAG